AGAAUCAACGCUGGCGGCGUGCCUAACACAUGCAAGUCGAACGAGAAAGUGGAGCAAUCCAUGAGUACAGUGGCGACCGGGUGAGUAACACGUGACCAAUCUACCUUCGAGUGGGGGAUAACUCCGGGAAACCGGGGCUAAUACCGCAUAACAUCUUUGGAAUGCAAAUUCCGUUGAUCAAAGGAGCAAUUCGCUUGAAGAGGAGGUCGCGGCUGAUUAGUUAGUUGGCGGGGUAAUGGCCCACCAAGACGAAGAUCGGUAUCCGGCCUGAGAGGGCGCGACGGACGACACUGGAACUGAAACACGGUCCAGACUCCUACGGGAGGCAGCAGUGGGGAAUUUUGCGCAAUGGGGGAAACCCUGACGCAGCAACGCCGCGUGGAGGAUGAAGUCCCUUGGGACGUAAACUCCUUUCGACCAAGACGAUAAUGACGGUACUGGUGGAAGAAGCACCGGCUAACUCUGUGCCAGCAGCCGC
rnacentral:rRNA from 1 species